AUUGAACGCUGGCGGCAUGCCUUACACAUGCAAGUCGAACGGCAGCACGGGUGCUUGCACCUGGUGGCGAGUGGCGAACGGGUGAGUAAUACAUCGGAACAUGUCCUGUAGUGGGGGAUAGCCCGGCGAAAGCCGGAUUAAUACCGCAUACGAUCUACGGAUGAAAGCGGGGGACCUUCGGGCCUCGCGCUAUAGGGUUGGCCGAUGGCGGAUUAGCUAGUUGGUGGGGUAAAGGCCUACCAAGGCGACGAUCAGCAGCUGGUCUGAGAGGACGACCAGCCACACUGGGACUGAGACACGGCCCAGACUCCUACGGGAGGCAGCAGUGGGGAAUUUUGGACAAUGGGCGAAAGCCUGAUCCAGCAAUGCCGCGUGUGUGAAGAAGGCCUUCGGGUUGUAAAGCACUUUUGUCCGGAAAGAAAUCCUUGGCCCUAAUACGGUCGGGGGAUGACGGUACCGGAAGAAUAAGCACCGGCUAACUACGUG
rnacentral:rRNA from 1 species